rnacentral:rRNA from 1 species
AUACAGAGAGUGCAAGCGUUAAUCGGAAUUACUGGGCGUAAAGCGCGCGUAGGUGGAUACUUUAGUCGGAUGUGAAAGCCCUGGGCUUAACCUAGGAACUGCAUCCGAAACUGGGUGUCUAGAGUAUAGUAGAGGGAAGUGGAAUUUCCGGUGUAGCGGUGAAAUGCGUAGAUAUCGGAAGGAACACCAGUGGCGAAGGCGGCUUCCUGGACUAAUACUGACACUGAGGUGCGAAAGCGUGGGGAGCAAACAGGAUUAGAAACCCCGGUAGUCC